rnacentral:rRNA from 1 species
GACGAACGCUGGCGGCGUGCCUAAUACAUGCCAGUAGAACGCUGAAGGAGGAGCUUGCUCUUCUGGAUGAGUUGCGAACGGGUGAGUAACGCGUAGGUAACCUGCCUGGUAGCGGGGGAUAACUAUUGGAAACGAUAGCUAAUACCGCAUAAGAGUAGAUGUUGCAUGACAUUUACUUAAAAGGUGCAAUUGCAUCACUACCAGAUGGACCUGCGUUGUAUUAGCUAGUUGGUGGGGUAACGGCUUACCAAGGCGACGAUACAUAGCCGACCUGAGAGGGUGAUCGGCCACACUGGGACUGAGACACGGCCCAGACUCCUACGGGAGGCAGCAGUAGGGAAUCUUCGGCAAUGGACGGAAGUCUGACCGAGCAACGCCGCGUGAGUGAAGAAGGGUUUCGGAUCGUAAAGCUCUGUUGUAAGAGAAGAACGAGUGUGAGAGUGGAAAGUUCACACUGUGACGGUAUCUUACCAGAAAGGGACGGCUAACUACGUG